rnacentral:lncRNA from 1 species
UAUGACUGCAGGUUGGGCUGUCCCUUGGGAUUCAGGGCCUCAAAUGUACCUGCUGACCAGUUGAAGAGUGCUGACCAGCUGUCCUGCUGAACACCUCUCAAUCUGGAUUUUUGACAUUUCCCUGUGAUUAAAUUCAGGGAAUCCAGCUUUGGUGACAGAGCCACUGAAGCAAGGCUGUUCCCUGCUUGGAGACGCACCCACUUUACACGUGUAGGGUGGCGAGUCUGACAAACGCAGCCACAGGCAGCCCCCACCGGGGGAGCCGGACGUUUCCAUCCACCCAGACAGCAGCGUUCACGCCCAGGACCAUGUGGGCCUGCGCCCCGGGCCGCACCUGCCUCUCCUGCAUUCCGUGUCUGGCAUCUUGUGUCGUUGCCACCCUGCGUGCCAUGUCUGGCUUCUCUCUCUCAGCGAGUGUCCUCCGUGUCUCCGAGUCGCGCCCGUUCUGUUGUGCGUAAAUGCCGUUCUCAGAGCUGUUGUUUGUUUAGGGAUGUAUCAUGUUUUCAGCUUAACAUUUGUGCCAUUCGUGUGCCCUGGCGAGCCCCGCCCCCUCCAAGUUACUGGCGUGCUGUGGGCGUUCUCGGGUUUCUACUCUUCCUGCUGUCGCCAGCGCAGCCGAAGCACCAAGCAGGAAGCUCUGCCGAGUUCUUGGCUUCAGCCCCCAAAGCCAGACAGAGAGAAGCGUGAGCACUGCCCAGGAGGCCGCUUUCAUUUCUGUGGGGACAUCGGGACCACCCACCGGACACCCCCAGGAAGGCCACGUUCUGAGGCACUGCACGUUGCAAGAUAAGGGACGUUGCACAUCCUUCACCUGGGAAACUUCUGGACUCCUAACUUCACCUGGGAAACUUCUG